GAUGAACGCUGGCGGCGUGCCUAAUACAUGCAAGUCGAGCGAACAGAUAAGGAGCUUGCUCCUUUGACGUUAGCGGCGGACGGGUGAGUAACACGUGGGUAACCUACCUAUAAGACUGGGAUAACUUCGGGAAACCGGAGCUAAUACCGGAUAACAUUUGGAACCGCAUGGUUCUAAAGUGAAAGAUGGUUUUGCUAUCACUUAUAGAUGGACCCGCGCCGUAUUAGCUAGUUGGUAAGGUAACGGCUUACCAAGGCGACGAUACGUAGCCGACCUGAGAGGGGGAUCGGCCACACUGGAACUGAGACACGGUCCAGACCCCUACGGGAGGCAGCGGUAGGGAAUCUUCCGCAAUGGGCGAAAGCCUGACGGAGCAACGCCGCGUGAGUGAUGAAGGGUUUCGGCUCGUAAAACUCUGUUAUUAGGGAAGAACAAACGUGUAAGUAACUGUGCACGUCUUGACGGUACCUAAGCAGAAAGCCACGGCUAACUACGU
rnacentral:rRNA from 1 species